CCUACGGGAGGCAGCAGUAGGGAAUCUUCCGCAAUGGACGAAAGUCUGACGGAGCAACGCCGCGUGAGCGAAGAAGGCUUCGGGUCGUAAAGCUCUGUUGUAAGGGAAGAACAAGUGCCGGUUAACUGCCGGUGCCUGACGGUACCUUACCAGAAAGCCACGGCUAACUACGUGCCAGCAGCCGCGGUAAU
rnacentral:rRNA from 1 species